rnacentral:lncRNA from 1 species
CGGAGAAGCAGUUCCCGGCGAUGUGGGGCCCGCAGGCUGGCCGGAUGGAGCAGGUGUAGCACCCGCAGGUUGGCCGGAUGGAGCAUGUGUAGGUGCGAGCCCCUCCGGAGGCGGUGCGGGUGGAGAAGUAACAGUUCCCGACUGUGUGGGGCCCGCAGGCCCGCCAGAUGGAGCAAGUAUGGGCCCCCCAGGCACGCCAGAAGGAGUAGGUGCGAGCCCCUCCGGAGGCGGUGCGGGUGGAGAAGUAGUUGGAGUAUAGCCUGACGCCGGAGAUGGCACCAUAGAAGUUGACGGCGACGGCGACGGUUGUGAUGACCCUGGCCCUGGUGAAGCAGAUGGAGGAGUUGUAAUCACUGGUGAUGGAGAUGGAGAG